GUGAUUGCUUGAGUAGUACAUACACUAAAAUUAGAACAACAGAGAGGCAAUUAGGAUAGCACCUGAGCAAGAAUGAUGUGCAAAUUCAUGAAGUAUUCUGUAUUUUU